AAUGUCCAUAAGGGCUGACUUAUUCAGCUGUCCUACGAAACAAAAGCUUGGCAGUUAGUUCUGUGGGCAAAGAACGUAGACAAUAAUGUAUUCUAAGAAAAUUUCUGAGCUCUCCUAAUUUUUUGAAAGACGCAAAUGGACUUUUUCAAGUCGUAAUAACUUGGUGUUUUAAGAAACAAGGACAUGUUUUUAAAAAUAGACUUUUGUUCCUCUGGAACACACAUAGCUGAUUUUAUCAUGUUCUAAUCAUGAGGAUCAUCACUGCCUCGGACUGCUAGUGAACGCAGUCUACGUGUAUCCAUGAUUAUCUUCCUGUGACGACCUUGUCUUCUAAGGAGAGAAGAUGUCAGUAAGGAGCACCCAGCGUGGGACUUGGUCCUUCUCAUGUGGUGAAAGUUUUGGCUGUUCCUCUUUGACAAAGGCAGAUUCCACGGACACGUCUCAGUCAAGGAGCGCGGGUUUAAUUCAGUCUCUGUGGAGGAAGAUUUGA
rnacentral:lncRNA from 1 species